CUGGUCCGAGUGCAGUUGUGUUUACAACUAAUUGAUCACAACCAGUUACAGAUUCCUUUGUUCCUUCUCCACUCCCACUGCUUCACUUGACUAGUUAA
rnacentral:Y_RNA from 1 species